rnacentral:misc_RNA from 1 species
GAUGAAGAACGUAGCGAAAUGCGAUAAGUAAUGUGAAUUGCAGAAUUCAGUGAAUCAUCGAGUCUUUGAACGCACAUUGCGCCCCCUGGUAUUCCGGGGGGCAUGCCUGUCCGAGCGUCAUUGCUGCCCUCAAGCACGGCUUGUGUGUUGGGCCCCCGUCCCCGGUUUCCCCCGGGGACGGGCCCGAAAGGCAGCGGCGGCACCGCGUCCGGUCCUCGAGCGUAUGGGGCUUUGUCACCCGCUCUGUAGGCCCGGCCGGCGCCAGCCGACACCCAAUUUUAUUUCUAAGGUUGACCUCGGAUCAGGUAGGGAUACCCGCUGAACUUAAGCAUAUCAAUACGGAGGA